AACAAUUAGGCUGACCUCGGUCCAACUGGACCGACCCGGCGCAAGUCUCUAUAUCUUUAGCAAUAUGCAUAGGAAGGGUCUAGAAUGAACCUCAUUUCAUUUCAUUUUUCUUUUCUCAAGGAGCUAGGGUUAGGGGUAGGUGGUAGGUGGCGGGAUGGAGCCACUUCAACCACGCACUCGCUAGUCCCAUCGCCACCUCGAUGUCACCAUGGUGACGAUCACCCUGAAACCCCCCGGUAGACAGGGAGACAGUGCAGACCUUUAGGAGCUAUCAGCAGAUUUGCAGAAGCACUCCAUUAUUCCGGAGGUGCUAAUCGGGCUUAUACUUUUGUGUGUAUACAUAUGUAUAAAUAUUUUGGGCACGACGGGGUCUUGUCCCGUCCAUAUGUCUAGUACUCUAGUAGAGGCUCGUAGAUACGUAUGUGUGGGUUAUAUGGUCUCACAAGGUCACUACUGUAUAUACGUAGAUAUGUGUACAUUAUCUUUCGAUAGCCAAAGGGCUUAUGUUUAUAAAAGUAUUUAUGUUCUUCAAUGAAAA